rnacentral:rRNA from 1 species
CGAAAGCCUGACGGAGCAAGACCGCGUGAGGGAGGAAGGCUCUUGGGUUGUAAACCUCUUUUCUCAGGGAAGAAGCUCUGACGGUACCUGAGGAAUCAGCCUCGGCUAACUCCGUGCCAGCAGCCGCGGUAAUACGGAGGAGGCAAGCGUUAUCCGGAAUUAUUGGGCGUAAAGCGUCCGCAGGUGGCGUAUCAAGUCUGCUGUCAAAGACUAGAGCUUAACUCUGGAAAGGCAGUGGAAACUGGUAGGCUAGAGUACGGUAGGGGUAGAGGGAAUUCCCAGUGUAGCGGUGAAAUGCGUAGAUAUUGGGAAGAACACCAGUGGCGAAGGCGCUCUACUGGGCCGUAACUGACACUCAGGGACGAAAGCUAGGGUAGCG